rnacentral:rRNA from 1 species
GACGAACGCUGGCGGCGUGCCUAAUACAUGCAAGUCGAACGCACUCUCGUUUAGAUUGAAGGAGCUUGCUCCUGAUUGAUAAACAUUUGAGUGAGUGGCGGACGGGUGAGUAACACGUGGGUAACCUGCCCUAAAGUGGGGGAUAACAUUUGGAAACAGAUGCUAAUACCGCAUAAAACCUAAACACCGCAUGGUGUAGGGUUGAAAGAUGGUUUCGGCUAUCACUUUAGGAUGGACCCGCGGUGCAUUAGUUAGUUGGUGAGGUAAAGGCUCACCAAGACCGUGAUGCAUAGCCGACCUGAGAGGGUAAUCGGCCACACUGGGACUGAGACACGGCCCAGACUCCUACGGGAGGCAGCAGUAGGGAAUCUUCCACAAUGGACGAAAGUCUGAUGGAGCAACGCCGCGUGAGUGAAGAAGGUUUUCGGAUCGUAAAACUCUAGUCGUUGGAGAAGAAUGUAUCUGAUAGUAACUGAUCAGGUAGUGACGGUAUCCAACCAGAAAGCC